rnacentral:rRNA from 1 species
AACGAACGCUGGCGGCAGGCCUAACACAUGCAAGUCGAGCGCGCCCUUCGGGGUGAGCGGCGGACGGGUGAGUAACGCGUGGGAACGUGCCCUUUUCUACGGAAUAGCCUCGGGAAACAGAGAGUAAUACCGUAUACGCCCUUUGGGGGAAAGAUUUAUCGGAAAAGGAUCGGCCCGCGUUGGAUUAGGUAGUUGGUGGGGUAAUGGCCUACCAAGCCGACGAGCCAUAGCUGGUUUGUGAGGAUGAUCAGCCACACUGGGACUGAGACACGGCCCAGACUCCUACGGGAGGCAGCAGUGGGGAAUCUUAGACAAUGGGGGCAACCCUGAUCUAGCCAUGCCGCGUGAGUGAUGAAGGCCUUAGGGUUGUAAAGCUCUUUCAGCUGGGAAGAUAAUGACGGUACCAGCAGAAGAAGCCCCGGCUAACUCCGUG